rnacentral:rRNA from 1 species
GAGUUUGAUCUUGGCUCAGAUUGAACGCUGGCGGCAUGCCUUACACAUGCAAGUCGAGCGGCAGCGCGGGGGCAACCCUGGCGGCGAGCGGCGCACGGGUGAGUAAUGCAUCGGAACGUGUCCUCUUGUGGGGGAUAACCAGUCGAAAGACUGGCUAAUACCGCAUGAGCACGAGAGUGGAAAGCGGGGGACCGUAAGGCCUCGCGCGAGAGGAGCGGCCGAUGCCGGAUUAGCUAGUUGGCGGGGUAAAAGCCCACCAAGGCGACGAUCCGUAGCUGGUCUGAGAGGACGACCAGCCACACUGGGACUGAGACACGGCCCAGACUCCUACGGGAGGCAGCAGUGGGGAAUUUUGGACAAUGGGGGCAACCCUGAUCCAGCCAUGCCGCGUGUGUGAAGAAGGCCUUCGGUUGUAAG